UUUUCUUCGACACCACCGUGCUGGUUUUUUUUAUUGUUACUCAAUUUUUCUGUACUCAAACUUUUUCGGAAAAUGUCCCAGUGAUAAUAUGCAAAGUAUUUUUUACUGUGCUUAAAGUUAUUUAUUCGUUCAAAGCAUAAACAGCUCACGUUCUACGUCAUGUUUAUACAGAUGGUACAAAAAGUGAUAUAGCACCGAUACAUUUUCUUCUUUGUUCAUUUCGAUAACGUAUACGAACUCAACAACACAACGAGAAAACAGAUUUACACUAAAACAAACAAAAAAUGACUAACAACAAGCUACAAGUGUUUUGUCUGAUUGUGUUAACUAUUUGCACUGUUAUAAACGAGAUAAAAUGCAUAACAAAAAAAGAAGAAUGCACCGAAGAGAUUUUCCUUAACAACUAUUUGAUUUCCAGAUUAAAUAUUCAACAAAAAUACGACCUGGUAGUAAUGGUCGUAGACGAAUACAAAUAUGAGGACGUUGGGAAAUUCCUUAACCCGCCAGAUAAAGACUUUUUGUGUCAUGUGGAUGAUAACGCUUUGAUAUAUUCCGAAAUAUGCAAAAAAGAACGAUCCUUUCAAGGGGAAUUACUAAAAAUCAUAAAUAUCCAGAGACCUGAUGAUUUUACUAGUAGAGGAACAUAUGACACAGCAGUAAGGAACAGAAGACAUAUUUUAAAUUUAGCAUACCUGUCGAUUAUCAAUGAAAAAUUGAAAAACCAGCGAAUGUGCGAAAAUCACGAAAGAAUAAAAUGUAUAUUUUUGUGUGGUUUAAUAACUAUGGUAACUAUAUGGUAGCUAUAUGGAAAACCCGAAACCGCCUAAUUAGAUUUCUUAACGAAAUAUAUUAUCAGUUUUUUUUGUGCCUCCUGUAAAGUCGAGGAAUUGAGUUAGGUAAAUAAUCAAAUUUUUCAAAUUGUAAUAGUCACAUCUUAUGUUUAAUUUUUAUUAAUUUUAAAAGUUAUACCUAAUAGAAAUGAAAAAAUAAAAAUCGAUAGCAUUAUUUUUACCUUGUUUGGGUUUUUUGAUAACUUAUGUUUUGCCCCCACUUGGAAUUACCAUGUGAUAAGUUAUUACUGAUAACAGAAUAGUGAUAACAGCGAAUUUGUUAUUAUUUUGUAUUCGGCUUUGAUGAGAACAAAGUACAAAAUUGGUAAAUAAUUAUAAACAAUUAUAAAAUGCGUUAAGUUUGAAGGAUUAAAAGACCAAAGUGCCCGUCUAGUUUUUGUACAUUCAUAAUGAAGUUUGUGUUAUUGUCUCCUCGUUGUUGGUUAAUGUUUCUCAGGCAAAUCAUUCGAAUAACUGGGCUGUGCUUGUGGACACAUCUAGAUUUUGGUUUAAUUAUCGACACGUAGCCAAUGUGUUAUCUAUACACUUCUAACACUUCUAUAUAAGUGUUAAACGCCUUGGAAUUCCAGACAGCCAGAUCAUAUUAAUGGUGGCCGACGAUAUGGCUUGUAAUCCGCGUAAUCCAAGUCCAGCGACCGUUUACAAUAACGCAGACCAACAACUUAAUGUUUAUGGCGACGAUGUUGAAGUUGAUUUCAGAGGCUAUGAGGUUACUGUUGAAAACUUUGUACGGUUAUUGACUGGUCGUUUACCAUCGGAAACUCCUCGCAAAUAUCAGUCGAAAAACAAACAAGGAUGUAUUGGUCAAAAUAUUUAACGCAAAUAUUUUGACCAAUACAUCCUUGUUUGUUUUUCGACAAAAUACCACUACUAAAAUACUUCUAAGUAACUACUCCCAAGUUAAUAAAGCGACCCGACUCAAACGUGCAUGACAUUAUUAACAUAGAGGAGAAGUAUCGAGAUCAAUUUGACCACAUUCAAAAAUUGUUUAAGACAUUUGUCAAAGACCCUGUGCGGGGAUACAUAGAGUGGGACAGUGGAAUACCAGAAGAAGUAACAGAAGAGGACGAGGGGUCUUCUUCUUCUGGACGAGGAGUCAAUCCGAGUGCAUUUUAGAUGUGCAUAGAUAACUAUUAGCGCUAAUAAUUAGUUUGUUCAAAUUGGUACACAGCAAAAUAGCGAUAUUUCAAUGUAAUAGAGUAAUCCUUCAUUUAUGUACAAACAUGUGCACCUAUAUGUUUCUGUCUUUUUAACAAUAAACUAUAGCUUUAUGAUUUUAA